GAUUAGGAUUUAAUUGACCUAGGCCUUACCCGUUUCUCACGCACCCUUUAUCAAAUUCGCCGGCUCCACGCUUCGCACGACGAUCUACGACGGAACUCUCCACCGAGGAUCGGGACUGCGGCCAAGCAGCUCCUCACGUCGGCGAGCUUGCGGGGAACGACAAGCGGGCUCGUAGACUACAACCUACAUAUCUGCGGCGCAGCUACGGUAGGGUGAGGGCUUCAAUAGAGGGACGCGGGAUGAUAUGGGAUCGGUGAGGUAAGGGAUGGGUAGCUAGGUAGGUUGAUAAAUUGCCAACAAAGUUCGAUUGAUGGUUUUUGUUAUGGAUCGAUUUCUUUUCCGCGAUGUUCUUGUUUCGACUUGAGGCUUUUGUGAUGUUCUUGUCGCGGUUUGUGUUUUUCCUUGAGGUUCUUGCUUUGAUAUGUGAUCUCUAUGACGUUCUUGUUCCAGAUGAUUGCUUCUAUGGGAUUUCGGCAAGAUUUUGGGGCUUUUGAUUGAAUUCGACGUUGCUUUGCUUCGAAACGCUGCAGAUUUGGGUGUUUCAGUGCUUUCCUGAAUUUACCUUGCAAGUGCAUUUCCUUUGUGAUGGUAUGGAUUCAAUGAGGUGAGGGCUAAGUGUUGCAUUUUGAUUUUCGUUGAUGUUGAUGCUUCAUUUGGCGAGUCUUUGUGGUUUCCUGCUACGGAUUUGAGGUGUUUGAAAUCAAGUUUGAUGCUGCCCUAUUUUUCUCAGGUUGGUUUUGAGUUUCUCGACAAAACUCUUAUGGAAUUCGUGCAGCUUUGAUGAUGUUUUACCCCUUUCUAUCUCUGCCAAGGGUCUGGAUAGAUUUAUAGGUUAGGAUGACUCUCAGGAUAUGAUAUGGAGUAGACGAUGAGGCGAGAUGGACGCAUGGUAUUGUCCGAAUGUCUAGAAGUGCAGAGCAUACUGGUUUCAUUGUGAGAGAUUUUUUUUUUAUUAUAUGUAAAGAGGGAUGUUUGGGGAUUAUUGUCCUUAUUCAUUAAACUCCUAAUCGAUGUAGUCAUUUCCCUUGGUUAAGAUAGUACUUCUUGAUGAGCU